rnacentral:rRNA from 1 species
ACAGUGUCUGGUGGGUAGUUUGACUGGGGCGGUCUCCUCCUAAAGAGUAACGGAGGAGCACGAAGGUUGGCUAAUCCUGGUCGGACAUCAGGAGGUUAGUGCAAUGGCAUAAGCCAGCUUGACUGCGAGCGUGACGGCGCGAGCAGGUGCGAAAGCAGGUCAUAGUGAUCCGGUGGUUCUGAAUGGAAGGGCCAUCGCUCAACGGAUAAAAGGUACUCCGGGGAUAACAGGCUGAUACCGCCCAAGAGUUCAUAUCGACGGCGGUGUUUGGCACCUCGAUGUCGGCUCAUCACAUCCUGGGGCUGAAGUAGGUCCCAAGGGUAUGGCUGUUCGCCAUUUAAAGUGGUACGCGAGCUGGGUUUAGAACGUCGUGAGACAGUUCGGUCCCUAUCUGCCGUGGGCGCUGGAGAACUGAGGGGGGCUGCUCCUAGUACGAGAGGACCGGAGUGGACGCAUCACUGGUGUUCGGGUUGUCAUGCCAAUGGCACUGCCCGGUAGCUAAAUGCGGAAGAGAUAAGUGCUGAAAGCAUCUAAGCACGAAACUUGCCCCGAGAUGAGUUCUCCCUGACCCUUUAAGGGUCCUGAAGGAACGUUGAAGACGACGACGUUGAUAGGCCGGGUGUGUAAGCGCAGCGAUGCGU